UGAGGGGAGCCGUGCGGGGCGGCUCCGGGUCGGGGCUGCGUGCUGCUGCGACCUGCGAGGCUCCGUCAGCUACCUGCUGCGGGCCCGUCGGGCUUCCAUCCCUCCCGCAGCACGGUUUGUGGAUGUUCCGUCAGGAUUUGGGCAAAGUUUCACAGAUGUCCAUCAAACGGAAUCCAUGCAGAAAUACCGACCUGAGUGUACAGAGAAACCAGCAGAUGUGUGGAUGGAUCCGUUUGCUUCACUGUGGUGGGGAAGAUGCUCAAAAAAAAUGCUUGGGAGCAUCACCAGCACGCAAGUCAGACAGCUGAAGGAGGAAUAGAGAGCAGAUCUGCUCCAUCUGCAUAGAUGAUACCACAAAGACCAAAGAGCAUCAGACAUUUGAAGAGCAAUGUCACCUUCCUCUAUGAGUCAGAGCUCGUGUUAAGGGUACUUCAUACCACAAGGAUCUUUGAAGCAUUACGUGAAGAACCACGAGAAGAAAAUUGCUUUAUUCCUAGAAGUUGGUAUAACCUGAAGUUUAAGCAAAUGGCUCUAAGUUUACUGCAGAAAAUAAAGCUACCAGCUAUGUCACUGCAAUACAACAUAAUACAACAGCUGUGCUAAUAAGCCUUGAUGACUAACUAGCUUCAUCUGAAGCUUCUGUGGUCCUAGGCACUGUAUUUAAAGUCAGCCCAAGGCUGUAACUGCUUGAGGGAAUUAUGGAGGAACAUUGACUUCCAGCUCAGUUGCAUCCCUGUGUGCUUACAGAGCCACUUGGUUCUUUUCUGACUUAAAACUUGCUACCUUAGUUUUCUGACUUAAAACUUGCUACCUUAGGUUAGUAUUAGUUAUAUCUCAUUGUUGUCAACCUGCUUAGAAAUCACUGGUCCUACUGCUAGCCUUCAGCUUUUUCUAGCUUUACCUUAUAUCCACUCUAUAGCUCCUGUUGCUUUGAUUAGGCCUCUGUUGAGCUGCCUCUGUCCUGCUUGCCCCCUUUGGAUGCAGUGGUACCAGGCUCUGGUUGGUAAUGCUGCCUUGUUAGCUCUGUGAUUCACCUAUUAGCUCCUCCUUCUUUGCUUCAGGAGAAGCCCUGUUCUUGCUGCUCACUGAUAUCAAUGCUUAUUGCCUCAUUAAUGCUUAUAGGACUUGACUUUUCUCCUUUCCUUGCACUCAUCCCUAUGAAUCCACACCUGCCUCUAAUGCUUCUAUUGCAUUAGUUAUGCGAUCAUUAGUGUGGUUGUGACAAUUGCAGUUUUUGCUAAUAAUAGAAACAUCAAUCAGUAUAGAUUAUAUUUUUCUCCUUAGCGUUUUAAGCAGGUAUCUUGUUCUUAGUGAGACUGUUAGUCUAGAAGUAAUUCAGAAUUAUACUACUUCAUGGAAAAGCUAAAAUAAAUACAUUUGUUUUGUGAAAGAACAUUGAUAGCACAGUAUGUCAACAGCUGACAUUCAAGACAUCAGGAAUAUGAGUUUAUGCUGCUAUUUAAGGAGAAAGGCUCAGGUUUGACAUAUUUGCAGGUAUUUUUUCAUAUAUUCACUCUGUUUUAUUUUUCUCUCUAUUAAACUGACACUUAAACCUUGGAAAUAUGUGGUACUAUCAUCAAGGGGUCAUUUGUCUAGCUUAUUGAGGUCUCCAAGGACAAAAGUAACUGGAGUGAUGGGAGGGAGCUGACAGGGUGUUUUUCAAGUAAACAAGAAAGAUGGGAGGGAAGAACAUGGUAAAAAUUUGCAGUGAUAUUCCUGAAUUUUGCACAGGUCUCUCCACAGAUCAAUAUUAGUGGAACUCUUACAGAGGUUAAAAAAGUUAUUGUUUCCUCAGCUUUGCAGUUGCACUCUGAGAGCAAUGACAAUACAGUAUGUGCCUGCAGUGUUACUCCUAUGAGAACUCAUUAAUAUCAUGGGGUCUGUUUAAGCAUUUCAGCAGCAGUUGCAGUCAUACAGCUCAAUCAGACCCAAACAGCACUGAAGAAAGUGAGGAUUUUCGACAAGCUCUAGAUAACCUACACCUCCCAUUGAUGGAAAUGAGAACUGCAGGCACUUAGAAUCCCAGUCCUAAACCUUCCAUUUUCUCUCCUGCAAGAACCUUAGUAAGGAUGUUAGGAGCACACAGACCUUUUGAUUCUGUUGUACCUCCUGCCUGUGACUUACACAGCAGCACGUGCAAGCUUUAGGAGAAAAACAGCUCUGUGAUCAUCCUUUAGGGGAAAUACUGAAGAGCAGCGAUGUUUGUGAAAUAAGACAGAAUGUUUGCCCUUGGAAAAAUAACGUUCAGUCUUCUGAGACAGAGGCAAAAACAUGGAAUGCAAUUAGCUUAUGGUUCUUCUAGUCAUCUGCAAACUGUUUCUUAGAAGUACGGAUGUUGCAGUUUCCAUUCUUUCCAGGUAGAGUUAUGAAUGUUUGGGAAAUGUUUAUAAAUAAAGGAAAGAAUGUAAGUUCUGCACAGGACUAGGGAUAGGAUUAUUGCUCUAUGCAUCAGUGUAGAGUAUAUUAUGUAGCCAAUUUUUUUCUAUUGCUACAGGCAUUUUUAUAUCUUCAUAUACAUUUUUAAAGUAUUUUAUAGGUACUUAAAUGCUACUGUAGUAGUGAUGGUACUGUGGUAGCAUUGUUGAUCUCUUGUAUCUGUCUCAAAUAAAAGGUUCCUCUAGUGUUCUUAUUGGUUGGAAAAGCUAUCUGAAAGAAAAACAGCUCAAAGGGCCGUGAUCAGUGUUUUUCCUUACAGGACAUAAUAGUGAUUAUUUUUCUUCUGUUCUGAAACAGGAAAUUUGCUGAACUGGUUUGCAAAUCCCUCAAAAAGAGUACAGGACUAUGGGUAAGGUUUGUCUUUAAUGCAGCUCCACAGAAGCCAGAAUGUAUAUAAGGAAAGAAUCUGAAUGUUACAGCCUGUUAGGAUAUGAAUGCAAGUUUAAAUGAGCAGCAAAGCUGAGCUCUCUGUGCUUUCCACAUCUGGUGAGGUGGCACAAAUUGUUCUCCUGAAAGAAGCAGAUUAGCCAUUGGUGAAACAGGGGUAAAAGUAGUAUCUGUGUUCCUAUGCUAAGGGCCUGCCCUGCCAGUGGAGAAAUAUUGGGAAUGGGUUUCUGAAGCAAUGGAACAAUGAGUGGUUACGAAUAUCUCACUGAUAAUUUUGCUUUGAAUUACUGUGUGCUACUUCUUUCACAUGUGUGAAUGUGGUCCUACAGAUAAAAUGGACAUGGAAAACAGAAUAACUCUGGUAAGUACUGUCAGCCUCUGAGGGCAGGCUUGGUGCAACUUGGCACUGUUACUCAUUAUUUCAAUGGAUAAUCUCCAAAAGCAGGAGGAAAAAAAAAAGUACUUUCUAGCUCCAUAUGCUUUUCUCUUCAAGGAAUUUGAUAGGUUUGAGACACGGAAGUGAGAACGAGCUUAUAUCCUAGUGAAAUGGGUGAGUAAUAACACUGCAGACUUCAGAGAAAAUGGUAGGCAACAGAUUUUUUUGGUACCUCAUAGGCACUGAGAAAUUGAGAUUACUGCUUUUGAAAAUCCAAGUAUAUGCAGCUUCACCAAGGACUGCACAGCAACUCUUUAUCAGAGUUAAAAUUAAAACGUGCAACUGCACGGUCCAGGCAUGUUCUGUAAACUAGAAAUGUCUGAUUAUCUGCAGGCCUGAUCUGGUCCCUGGAACAAAUUCACAUAGCCCAGCAAAAUCUCGCCUUAAUGUAUAAUGCAAUCCAGCUCCUAGAUAAAAACCAUUCAUAUGGUCUGUCUCCUUAUCUACCAAGAAAUGUCACAACCCCACUUAAUCGUGUAGGAGCAUAAUGCAGUUGCUGGGUCAUCUCUUUAUUGAAGAGUACUUUCUGGGUCAUUUUCCUGUCUUGACCUUUUAAUUCUUAUAACUGUUUGAUUUUUCUGCCAUUGUCAGUGAGAGAACCUUUGUGUAAUCACCCCUGGCCGUGGGAUACCUCAGUCUUUAUGACUUAAGACACUGAGUAAAAACAAGGUUCCAUGUAUUCACACAUAUGUACACUGUAUACUGAACACUGAGAGGCAAGCUGCCUAAUUACUGGGAAGGAGAUAUUCCUCACGGGGAAGGAAGACAAAACCAAUUUGAUUUUCAUGAGACAAGAGCUGAAGUUCUGUGUACCAGCGCUCGGUAAGGAACAACAGUGCCCCUUGGCUGACGACUUAGAGCAUGCUGUUUUGUUGCUUGUGAUAAAGGAGAGAAAGAAUCCUAGUCCAAUUUCCUGCACUGUUAACUUGCAUCUAUAUCUUCACUGAGCAGAGUGAUUAGGUGAAUGUAGAACCUUCACCUUUGGAUUCUGUUAAGCCGUAAGUAGGUAUGAUGCUUAUGUCUGGUACAUUGCUGCAUCUCUGAAGAUCACCUUUGGACCGUGGGUUGAUAAAGCAGGUGUUUUUACUUUCUGUAGCCCUAACCCUGACUUACACUGUGUGUGCAUUGGACUAAAUCCAUGUUCAGGUUUGUGUCCCAGUUCAGUAGGGUCUGUGCACUGAAUGGUAGGCUUAUGGUUUAAAAGCUUAUGGAAGGCUAUAUACUGAAUAACUGGAGUACAGGACCAAGCAGAAGAAAGCCCAGGCUUUAAGGGAAGCAUCUAGCCUAUAUCAGAGCAUGUAACAGUGAAACACCAGGCUCUUAAGUUAUUUACAUACUCACUAACAUGACCCUUUGCAGACUUCUGCAUGUUACAUACCAAGAACACUUAAAAAAACCCUUAGAUUUUAGAAAUAAGAACAGAAGACAACAAACAAAGCAUACACAAAAUAAAUCAAUUAACACCAACUCACCCAGAGCUGUGGUCAUUUCUACAACCCAAUGUGUCUUUUAUCUAUCUGGUUAAUACAGGCAGAAGUCGUGCAUCUCUAGGAUUGUAAAGCUAACCAUCUUGCCACUGCAAAAAGUCAAACUGGUAAAUGCUGUAACAGUGUGGUUACAAGAGCAAAAAGGACCAAUCAUGCAAAUUUAUUUGAAAGAUUCAACACAUUUUCUGUUCCAUGUAUGUAUUCCGUGUGAUGAUACUUGAACUUUACUGCUUAACAGGAGAGCGUUUCCUCUGUGUGCAGGCAGCUGUGGCAGAAUAAAUGAGUGGGCAUUUUGGUGGCAUUCAUUGAUUGAUAUGGAUGGUCAUCUCCAGAUUGAUUAUUGUAGAAUCGGGACCGUGUGAAAAGGAAAAAUCAACACAUGGUUGCGCUGAAAACUGUCAGUGCUAACAGUAUAUCACCAGGAGUUGUGUUCAGCUUACGGUAUUUUCACCUAACAAUCAAUCCUGGGGCCUUUAGUGAGUCAAGCAGUCUUUAUUGGUGUGGAUAAUAAGACUAUUUAUAAAGUAAAUUAUUUCAGGAUGGAUUCUCUGGAAUGGCAAAGAGCAGAAGUGCGUCUUUACCCUUAAUAAGCAUAAUAUAAGGAAUGACAGCACAAUAUUUUUUCACACAGAGGCCACGUGCAUUGGACAUGCUUAAAAUUAAGUCACUGCUCACAGAAAACAAGUGCUGGAGGGAUGAUUUUGUGGGAACUCUUGUGAAAAUAAAUAAAUAAAGCACAGGUGGAUGGGCCUACUAGAAAAGUCAUCUCAGCCCAUGUGCAGUGCAGAGCAGCUCUGUAAAAUAGAAUAGAAUAGAAUAGAAUGGCCUGGGUUGAA